GAUGAAGAACGCAGUGAAAUGCGGUACGUAAUGUGAAUUGCAAAUUCAGUGAAUCAUCGAGUCUUUGAACGCACAUUGCGCCCCCUGGUAUUCCGGGGGGCAUGCCUGUCCGAGCGUCAUUGCUGCCCUCAAGCACGGCUUGUGUGUUGGGCCCCGUCCUCCGAUCCCGGGGGACGGGCCCGAAAGGCAGCGGCGGCACCGCGUCCGGUCCUCGAGCGUAUGGGGCUUUGUCACCCGCUCUGUAGGCCCGGCCGGCGCUUGCCGAUCAACCCAAAUUUUUAUCCAGGUUGACCUCGGAUCAGGUAGGGAUACCCGCUGAACUUAAGCAUAUCAAAGCGGAGGA
rnacentral:misc_RNA from 1 species